UUGUAUUCAAUUUGUAGACGGGUGG
rnacentral:piRNA from 1 species